AACGAACGCUGGCGGCAUGCCUAACACAUGCAAGUUGAACGAGAUCUUCGGGUCUAGUGGCGCACGGGUGCGUAACGCGUGGGAAUCUGCCCUUUGGUUCGGAAUAACAGUUGGAAACGACUGCUAAUACCGGAUGAUGACGAAAGUCCAAAGAUUUAUCGCCAGAGGAUGAGCCCGCGUAGGAUUAGCUAGUUGGUGUGGUAAAGGCGCACCAAGGCGACGAUCCUUAGCUGGUCUGAGAGGAUGAUCAGCCACACUGGGACUGAGACACGGCCCAGACUCCUACGGGAGGCAGCAGUGGGGAAUAUUGGACAAUGGGCGAAAGCCUGAUCCAGCAAUGCCGCGUGAGUGAUGAAGGCCUUAGGGUUGUAAAGCUCUUUUACCCGGGAUGAUAAUGACAGUACCGGGAGAAUAAGCUCCGGCUAAUUCCGUGCCAGCAGCCGCCGUAA
rnacentral:rRNA from 1 species